AGCUUUGCACAGUGGCAGUAUCGUAGCCAAUGAGGUUUAUCCAAGGCGUGAUUAUUGCUAAUUAAUAUUAUUUCCUAAAGUCUUCUACUUUGAGGAUUGCUGGGUGAUUGAACAUCUUUCUCCCAGUUCUCAUGAGGGAAUAAU